ensembl:lncRNA
AUGAACGCCAAUACACGGAGACGGGGGCACAGUUGGUCCACAUCAGCGCUACAGCUUUGUUUAAAUAUACCCAGACUACAUGAAGCAUUGCUGUCAGGCGUCACGGCUUUAUGUCAAAAUAAAUCUGAAGAAAAAAAAAGUAAGAAAUCAAAUAAUUGUAGGAAGAUGGCGCCCACCAAGCCUAGCAUUCAGCAAGACCCUACAAGAAGAGAACGGGAAAUUAAAACCCUACACCCUUUCUGCAUGGAGGAAUCAGUGGAGGAGGCCGUAGUUGAUGCCCAAUUCAUGUCCAAAUUUCCCCAGUAAGUUGGAAGUCUUAUUUAACCCAUUCAUUGAGGACAUUAAGUGAUUUAAAACAUUGCUUAUUUAAAUCACCAAGAUCAUUUUCAGAGUUUACAUAGUUGUUGAUGUCCUUUGAUACUUGUUAGCCCGGCCUAGUGCUGCUUACGAAACCAACUCAAUGAACGAAGCAAGACUAAAACUCUGUAUAGAUAGAGAGAGAGAGGAAGAGAGAGAGAGGCUGAGGGGAGUGCUGUGGGAUUAUUUCAAAUAAUCUUUGAAGAGGUAGGGUUUCAGAUGUUUUCAAAAGAUGGGAUGAUCUGCUGUCCUAGCUCCAGGGGGAAGAUGGUUCCACCAUUGGUGUGCCAGGACAGAGAAGAGCUUGGACUGGGAGCUGACCUCCCUUAAGGGUGGGAGGGCCAAGAGACCAGAGGUGGCAGAAUGGAGUCCUCGGGUUGUGGUGAAGGGUUUGAGCAUAGCCUGAAGGUAGGGAGGGGCAGUUCCUCUUGCUGCUCCCUAGGCAAAUACCUUGGUCUUGUAGCGACAGAAAGGAAGAGAGGAUAGGAUGAUAGGUCCUCCGGAAGUUUAUUUUACCUAAAUUUUCGCUCUGCGGCCAGGGCCCUGUUCUGUAAGCUCACAAUGAGUCACUCAGUCAUUCUAUCACCCCACAGUAAGUUAGUGGAAACAGAUUAAGAAGGUAUAGUCAGUCAGAGAGAGGUGUGAUGCUGGGCGCGGGAUAACAGGGCAUGUAAAUAAAUUGUUCGCUGGCGCUGUUGCCCGGCUGCUAGCCGUGGAGAGAAUUGAGUCCCCCACAUUGAGAGUUUAGGGAGAAAGCAGGCGGUACUCUCUCUCUCUCUCUCUCUCUCUCUCUUUAUCUCUCUCUCUCUCUCUCUCUUUAUCGCUCUCUCUCUCUCUCUCUCUCUCUCUCUGUACUCUCUUUACCUCUCCCCCCUCUCUCUACAUCUUUCUCUCUCUAUGCUCUGACUGCGCUCUCUCUCUCUCUCUCCGUUCCCUCCAUCAGAGCAAAUUCAUCAUGCCUCUGGCACUUCACCAUCUCUUGCCAGCCAUUCAGAUUAGUCCUCAUAAAGACAGAUCCAGAGCAGAACAGAGGGAACUCUAACUGACCGUGAUUGCAAAAUGCUGCUCACCCAAAGUUAUUCUCCUUUCCAGACAUAUUGCUAGGCAGGGCUUAACAAUAUGUACUCUUUUAUCUUUGUUUAUGGAACAUGUGUGGGAUUGAGAGAGGGAAAUAUUUUUCUCUGUUCAAUAAGAGUUAUCAUAGUCAUCAUAUUUAAGAGGGAGGGAGGAGAAGGAGGGAGAGAGAGGGAAGGGAGGCUUUUCUCCUCUCCCCUCCUCUCCUCUCUUUUCCUCUCUUCUCCUGCUUGGUCUGGCUGGCAGUUAUUUGUCAGACAGCUUCAUCCCUAUGUGUCAACACAGUAACACUUAAACACUGGGCUGGGCUGGGUUGAACACUCACUGUCCAACAGCAGUCUGUCUGCCCACUUCUUCACCUCUCUGUUCAACACAUGGGUUCUGGACCAGAACUACUGUAUGGCUAGGAGGUUUUGCUGGUCAGCCAGGCCCAGCAGGGUCCAGAGUUUUCCCUGGUCAUGCCAUGAUGUGGCCCUAGACAUAGGGUGUCUUCACUAUUCACCCAGAUACAGUACGUACAGUGCAUUCAGAAAGUAUUCAGACCCCUUGACUUUUUCCACAUUUUGUUACGUUACAGCCUUCUACUAAAAUGUAUUAAAUUGUUUUUUUCCCUCAUCAAUAUAUACACAAUGCCUCAUAAUUACAACGCAAAAACAGGUG